rnacentral:rRNA from 1 species
AUUGAACGCUGGCGGCAUGCCUUACACAUGCAAGUCGGACGGCAGCACGGGUGCUUGCACCUGGUGGCGAGUGGCGAACGGGUGAGUAAAGCAUCGGAACGUACCCGGGAGUGGGGGAUAACGUAGCGAAAGUUACGCUAAUACCGCAUACCCUGUGAGCAGGAAAGCGGGGGCUCGCAAGACCUCGCGCUUUCGGAGCGGCCGAUGUCGGAUUAGCUAGUUGGUGGGGUAAAGGCCUACCAAGGCAACGAUCCGUAGCGGGUCUGAGAGGAUGAUCCGCCACACUGGGACUGAGACACGGCCCAGACUCCUACGGGAGGCAGCAGUGGGGAAUUUUGGACAAUGGGCGCAAGCCUGAUCCAGCCAUGCCGCGUGAGUGAAGAAGGCCUUCGGGUUGUAAAGCUCUUUUGUUGGGAAAGAAAAGAUUCGGGCUAAUACCCUGGAUUAAUGACGGUACCCAAA